GAACGCAUCUUGCGCUCCUUGUUAUUCUGAGGAGCAUGCCUGUUUGAGUGUCAUUAAUAUCUCAACCAUACUCAUGUUGGAGGGUAUGGCUUGGACGUGGGGGUUACAGGCCCUUAUUUGUGGUCUGCUCCCCUGAAAUACAUGAGUGGCAAAGCCCCUCCAUUAGGUGUGAUACUUAUCUGCAUCUAUGGGGAUCUGCUGGAUCAUAUGUUGUUGUUGUUGUUCUUGACCUCAAAUCAGGUAGGACCACCCGCUGAACUUAAG
rnacentral:misc_RNA from 1 species